rnacentral:rRNA from 1 species
AUUGAACGCUGGCGGCAGGCUUAACACAUGCAAGUCGAGCGGGGUGAUGGUGCUUGCACUAUCACUUAGCGGCGGACGGGUGAGUAAUGCUUAGGAAUCUGCCUAUUAGUGGGGGACAACAUCUCGAAAGGGAUGCUAAUACCGCAUACGUCCUACGGGAGAAAGCAGGGGAUCACUUGUGACCUUGCGCUAAUAGAUGAGCCUAAGUCGGAUUAGCUAGUUGGUGGGGUAAAGGCCUACCAAGGCGACGAUCUGUAGCGGGUCUGAGAGGAUGAUCCGCCACACUGGGACUGAGACACGGCCCAGAAUCCUACGGGAGGCAGCAGUGGGGUAUAUUGGACAAUGGGGGGAACCCUGAUCCAGCCAUGCCGCGUGUGUGAAGAAGGCCUUAUGGUUGUAAAGCACUUUAAGCGAGGAGGAGGCUCUUUUGGUUAAUACCCAAGAUGAGUGGACGUUACUCGCAGAAUAAGCACCGGCUAACUCUGUGCCAGCAGCCGCGGUAA